GAUGAACGCUGGCGGCGUGCUUAACACAUGCAAGUCGAACGAAGCAAUUUUCUACGAUCCCUUCGGGGUGACGGAUUAUUGACUGAGUGGCGGACGGGUGAGUAACGCGUGGGUAACCUACCUUGUACAGGGGGACAACAGUUGGAAACGACUGCUAAUACCGCAUAAGCGCACAGCAUCGCAUGAUGCAGUGUGAAAAGUUUUUUCGGUACAAGAUGGACCCGCGUCUGAUUAGCUAGUUGGUGAGGUAACGGCCCACCAAGGCGACGAUCAGUAGCCGACCUGAGAGGGUGACCGGCCACAUUGGGACUGAGACACGGCCCAAACUCCUACGGGAGGCAGCAGUGGGGAAUAUUGCACAAUGGGCGAAAGCCUGAUGCAGCGACGCCGCGUGAGCGAAGAAGUAUUUCGGUAUGUAAAGCUCUAUCAGCAGGAAGAUAAUGA
rnacentral:rRNA from 1 species